AUUGAACGCUGGCGGCAGGCCUAACACAUGCAAGUCGGGCGGCCGAUGUGAGCUAGCUCCUUGUGUCAGCGGCGGACGCGAGCGUAAUGCCUAAGACACAGCCUGGUAGUGUGGAAUAACGUCCGGCAACGGACGCUAAUACUGAAUACCACCAGAGGGACAACGGGUGGGGCCUUGGGACCUCACGCCUUCCGAUGAGCCAAGGUCGGUUUACCUAGUUGGUCGGUUAAAGGCCUAACAGGGCGACGAUCCGUAACUGGUCGGAGAGGAUGAUCAGUCACCCUGGAACGGACACUCGGUCCAGACUACUACGGGAGGGAGCAGUGGGGAACAGUGGACCAUGGGCGCAGACCUGAUACAAGCAUGCCGCGUGUGGGAGGAAGGGCCUCGGAUUGUAAAGCACUUUAAGUUGGGAGGAACGGCAGUAACUUAAUACCUUGCUGUGUUGACGUUACCAACAGAAUAAGCACCGGCUAACUUCGUG
rnacentral:rRNA from 1 species